GUUUUGUCGGAAUGAAUUGCCCUUUAGCAGCAGGGUGCAAAACCAUCACUGCCACAUUGUGUAGUGGCAAUCUUGCAAAGUAUGUUGAACAGUGUGUUAUGUGGGCAGGGUUCCGGGAGGUGACUUGGUCAGUUGCAGAAGCACUUGAACCAUCUACCAUGAUGUUUACAGAGACCCCUGCACCCCUCCUCCAACCAUCCGCACACCCCUCCUGUGAAGACAAAAUGCAUGCAGCUGGCUGGAACACACGUCAAUGCCCAGGUGUCCACCAGAGCGAAAUUACAGCCCCUGAAAUAUCUGUAGAUACCAAAUGUUGGGUGCUGUCUCAUCAACAUUGGCACAGUGAUUAUUUAAACAAGGUUUAG
rnacentral:lncRNA from 1 species